UACGGGGGGGGCAAGCGUUGUUCGGAAUUACUGGGCGUAAAGGGCUCGUAGGUGGCCAACUAAGUCAGACGUGAAAUCCCUCGGCUUAACCGGGGAACUGCGUCUGAGACUGGCCAAGCACGACUCGAGGGUUCGGAGGAGGAUGGUGGAAUUCCCAGUGUAGAGGUGAAAUUCGUAGAUAUUGGGAAGAACACCGAUGGCGAAGGCAGCCAUCUGGACCGACACUGACGCUGAGGCGCGAAAGCGUGGGGAGCAAACAGG
rnacentral:rRNA from 1 species